GACGAACGCUGGCGGCGUGCUUAACACAUGCAAGUCGAACGAUGACGACCGAGCUUGCUCGGUCUGAUUAGUGGCGAACGGGUGAGUAACACGUGAGCAACCUGCCCUUCACUCUGGGAUAACCUCGGGGAAUCGGGGCUAAUACCGGAUAUGAGCUCCUGUCGCAUGGCGGGUGUUGGAAAGUUUUUCGGUGAAGGAUGGGCUCGCGGCCUAUCAGUUUGUUGGUGAGGUAGUGGCUCACCAAGGCGAUGACGGGUAGCCGGCCUGAGAGGGCGACCGGCCACACUGGGACUGAGACACGGCCCAGACUCCUACGGGAGGCAGCAGUGGGGAAUAUUGCACAAUGGGCGAAAGCCUGAUGCAGCGACGCCGCGUGAGGGAUGACGGCCUUCGGGUUGUAAACCUCUUUCAGCAGGGAAGAAGCGAAAGUGACGGUACCUGCAGAAGAAGCGCCGGCUAACUACGUG
rnacentral:rRNA from 1 species